UUACUUACCUGGUAGGGGUGAUUCCAUGAUCAGGAAGGUGGUUUCUCCAGGGUGAGGCUCGCCCAUUGCACUCCAGGCAUGCUGACCCUUGCGAUUUCCCCAAAUGUGGAAACUCACAGCAUAAUUUAUGGUAGUGGGGGACUGCAUUCACGCUUUAUCCUG